rnacentral:rRNA from 1 species
UAGGGAAUCUUCCGCAAUGGACGAAAGUCUGACGGAGCAACGCCGCGUGAGUGAAGAAGGAUGUCGGUUCGUAAAACUCUGUUGGUAGGGAAGAAAAAAUGUAUAGUAACUAUAUACAAAAGAGACGGUACCUAACCAGAAAGACACGGCUAACUACGUGCCAGCAGCAGCGGUAAUACGUAGGGGGCAAGCGUGGUCCGGAAUGAUUGGGCGUAAAGCGCGCGCAGGUGGUUUAGAAAGUCUGAUGUGAAAGCCCACGGCUCAACCGUUGAGGGUCAUUGGAAACUAAUAAACUUGAGUGCAGGAGAGAAAAGUGGAAUUCCUCGUGUAGCGGUGAAAUGCGUAGAGAUUAGGAGGAACACCGGUGGCGACAGCGGCUUUUUGGCCUGCAACUGACACUGAGGCGCGAAAGCGUGGAGAGCAAACAGG